GUAAUCGUGGAUCAGCAUGCCACGGUGAAUACGUUCCCGGGUCUUGUACACACCGCCCGUCACACCAUGGGAGCCGGUAAUACCCGAAGUCAGUAGUCUAACCGCAAGGAGGACGCUGCCGAAGGUAGGAUUGGCGACUGGGGUGAAGUCGUAACAAGGUACC
rnacentral:rRNA from 1 species